AGUGAUUCCUACGGGAGGCAGCAGUGGGGAAUAUUGCACAAUGGGCGAAAGCCUGAUGCAGCAACGCCGCGUGAGCGAUGAAGGCCUUCGGGUCGUAAAGCUCUGUCCUCAAGGAAGAUAAUGACGGUACUUGAGGAGGAAGCCCCGGCUAACUACGUG
rnacentral:rRNA from 1 species